UGUUGGGCACCGCAUACGGUGCCCUUUCUGGCUCACACACCGUGAAUCGCAAAGAGUAAUGAAUUACGCUGACGAUUAAAGAUGCAUUUCCUGAUAGUAUGGAUACGCAUAUUACGGCGUGAUUGCCCUUCAAGCCAACGCGCUUUACGGCGGCUCGCCUGACGUAGCAUUCGCCAGCGCCCCACUUCCGUUCUACUACGCUUCAUGUUUACGAC
rnacentral:sRNA from 1 species